UUAAGGUCAUAUAAUCUCUGUAUUAUUUUUCUUCCUUUUUAUCAUCCUAUUUAACUUUGUGAGUUUGGACAAGAUGGUUUGCAAUUAAUUCAUCUUUUCAUCUUAGUAAAUGCGCUGCUCUUGUGUGAUAAGGAUAAGGUAGGAUCUUUCAAUGUGGCUUUGCCUCUUGCUUUACUUUUUAGUUGAACUUGAUGUUUAUGAUAACAAGGAAAAGCUCCAAGAAAUUUACUUAUUUAUGUAAGUGAGGCUGGCAUCCAGUUGCAUUCAAGGAGAAAAGAAAGCAAGGUGCAUACUAGUACAAUGUAGGGAGUUGUGAAAAGGAUCUAUAAAACCAAUCCCAAUUCAUUUGGGAUUCAAGCUUAGUUGAGUUGA
rnacentral:misc_RNA from 1 species